UCAUACCUGGAAAAAAAUCAGAUCAUUGUUAGAAGAGGUUUUCAUUAUUUGCAGUAGAGUUCCUCUCAUUGUAACAUUUCCUUUGUGCUGGAAGAGAGGUGGGCUCAGCCCUCAGGUCAGCAAGACUGGGAGAGUAGGGAAGAGUGGAGCUAAGUUAAAGUCUAAUUAUGGAUUUAGUUGUCUAAGGCUUUUCUAUCAAGUUGGCCUUGAGGUACAAAGACUGGCUCUUAAGGAUCUCAGAGGAGAGGCCAUCCCAACUGAUGGAGGCCAGGACAGGCUGGUUUGUCCUUGAAAAUGAAUCAGAUUAAAAAUGAAAGAUGGACAGCUGGGAGGGGUUCCAGCACAAACAAACCUCCCACCCCUGUCAGGAACCAGGGUGACCUUCAGUGCCUGCCCACCCAUCCUCAGCCAUAGUGGGUGCAGGGAUGGGACAUGAUUAGCCCACAAAGACAUAAAAUGUGGCUGUCUGGUGAAAACUGAGUCAGGAUUUGGCUGUCCAGGACUAACCAGGGCCAGUGAAACAUCUCAGGAGAAAAGCAGCAGGGGCAGUGGGGGGGUGAGAAUAACAAAUGUUAUUUUCAUUUAUUAUAUAUUCAAUAUAUAAGCUGGAGGGUGGAACUGAUGGAGAAGGUGAUCUGAAGAGCAGGCAGCCAAACAGUCAAUCUAAAGUCAAGAAUCCACUGGGUGAAAUAGAGGCAGGAGCAAUGGAGCAGUGGAGGCAGCAGGGCAGGCAGUGUGAGACAGCAGCUGACAGGUAGGGCAGGCAGGCAGGGUCCAACUGGUCAGAGGGAGGCAACUCCAAAGCACUAGCCUGUCAUUCCCCUGGUAUUUAUUCCCCUCCACUUCCCCUUUGAUUAAAUAAUUGCCUUUUCAUCCAAAAACCCCUUCUGUCUCUGCUGCUGGCAGCCUCACCAUUUAUUAUCCUACCCAGCCCUCCCUAAAGUCAUCCUUCCCAUCACUACCCACUCCCAGCCUCUCCAGCUCGCCCUGCACUCAAAUGUUCAUGCCCCAUCUCACCCCAAGCCAGCCCAGUGCUGCUAAAACUCAACAUGCUCCCGUGUUUUCACUGCUGUGCAGCUGGGACACCACUCACCACAUCCCCAACAGGCUGUGCAGAUGUGCCCCUGAACAAGGCACAUGUUCCUGCAGCUCCCACAAGUUCAGCUGGGAAAAAGCAACAGGCAUGCUUGAGUCCAGGGAAACGUGGGUACAGCACCAGAACUUCCUUAUCCCCACCCAUUACAGCAGAAAACUUCUGGCAAAAAGAAACAACAAAACCUAAAAGCAAUUACCUGUGGUAUUUGGGAUAACGUAUUCCCUGACAGCUGAAAAAUGUCACAAGCAGCUCUCUGAUCAUCUGUGACAGAAGAGCUGGCAACUGCUCCAGGUCACAGCCAACCUUUGCUGAACUCACCCUGGCCCCACAGAAAUUAACCCACUCUGGCCCCAAAUUCCUGCGCACUCAUCCUCACACCCUUCCCAGGAUGACCAGGGAGAUUGGAGAAGGGAACAGUUUGCACCCUGAAAAGGGCAAAGAAAUCCCAGAUCUGAGUAGAGUCCAGUAAAGAGUUUGGAAAAAAAAAGAAAGAAAAAAAAGCUCCCCAAAAUCUCACAAGUGUUUAAUAUUUCCUUCUCUGAGAUUUACCAAUUUUCAGCUGUCACACAAAAUUUGAAGACUCCAGAUAGAAGCAAGACCAUCAGAACGCUCCCAUGUGGCCUCACACUACCAUUGAGCAGGGACUGAACUAAUUAGGAAAGCUUGUUUGUUCUUGGUCAGGACAGUCCUGGAAAGAACAUCAUUUAGGAUUGUUGUUUGCUUUGGCCCCAUCAAUAAAAACAGAAUUGUUUUCAGAGUGAUUCACAACCAGCUUGUAAGUUUCUUGGAAAACAAGAAGGAAAAGAUAAGCAAAACUUUUCCUUCUGCCACAGCUGGCUCUUCAGGAGGAUAACCAAGGCAAAGGCAGGACAGAGAAAGAAAAAUUGAAACAAAUUGAAUUUUAAAAAAUAUUUAAAAAUUCCUGUUGGGGUUGUUCUUAGUUAAAGAUGUCAUGGCUCCUUUUCCAAUGUUCUUGAAAAUUCUCUAACCCCAGAUUUUCAACUGCUAGAAACCACUUAUUUUCCAUGUACUAUUUUCAAAAUUCAAAAAGAUGGAGAACAAAACCACCCAGUUCAGCCGUUUCAAGAGGAUUUUUUUGGGGCAGAACAGAACUCCAUGUUUGGGACAUUUGCCACAAGACUCUGUGUUUGGAACAUUUAGUUUGUAGCUCCUGGCAGCUCUGGGAGACACAAGGUGCUUCUCAGAACAAGAUAUUCCCAUUUCUCAGCUGUGUGAAGAUGUAACACCAUGAGCCCCUUCUGUUACUUUGCUCCAGCAUCUGGAGAAAGAGAGAGGGAAAAACCUGAUUUUUUAUAAUCAUGCACAGGCUCAACACAAAGGAGGAGCCAGGACAUACAUCAGGACCAGGGAAGAAAUAGUCUUUCAACUGAUGGGUUUCAUUGGAUAAGGAAUAAUUUAAAUCCUCAGCAACUGGAAAGUACAUUUUUUUAAUCCAAAGAGGUCUUAUGAGCAACAAAGGAGCCAUCAGUGACCAGCUCGAGAGUCCAAAUGCAGCCAGCUGCAGACCCUUCCCACUGGGUGCUUGUGUGAAGCACAGAGAUCCUGCCACUCCUCCUGACAAGUCCAGUUGCACCCUCCACGUGUCGUGGUCAUCUGUGGGUGAUGCUGCAGAAAACACCCCUGAAAGACCAGAGGGCCUGGGAGGUGCAAUAUUGCUGAGCUCCAAGGGACAGCAGCAAGAACUCUGCUGAAACUUCACCCCAAAUCUUCAUCACUCCCGGAAAGGCUGGACCAGCUGGAAAGAGCUCCCCAGGCAAGUGGAUGUUUAGAUUCAGAUUCAUCACCAAACCUGAUGCCAGAAUCCUCCCCUGGAAGAAGGAGCACGGAUGGCUUCUGUCUUUACUUGCAGUGCAUAACAAAUCUUGGUUAUACAGGUAAGCAAGCAUCUGGAUCUUGCAAUCACCUCCCACUCACCAAAAAGGUUAAGAGUACCAGAGAUACCAUGGUCCUUCCUGUCUUUCUUCAAUGGCCACAACAAUUUUCACUGCACAAGACUGAAAUGCUUCAGUACCACACUGAAGUCACUAGAUCUAAUCUAGCAGAGCAUCCAAAUGAAAGAAAAGCAACCACAGCCUAUACUCAAGAUACUUUUUUUCCCUUUAAAUUCUAAUUAUUUAUUUUUACUAAACUUUUACCAUACAGAAGUUAGACAUGUCUCCUUACUUAGUCUUCAGUGUUAAUUCUCCAAAUCCCUGUGUGAAUUUGUCUCAUCAACCACAUGGAAAGCCGUGACAACUAACUUGGACAAGAAACCUACAGUUUAUGCAGCUCAAAGCAGAGAUCUUGGAAAAUCAUGAAACCAUAGGAAGAAAAAAGAGGUCUCAAUUAUUUUAUGUUGAUACUUACCACUCCACUGUUUUCAGACCAAAGGAAACAGUGACAGCAAAGCUCUUAUGAGGAUAUCUAACCCAUGACACUGAGAUGACUCCCUUCACCAGCAUGGCACUGGCACAGCUGUGUCUCACUUCACUCUGCAGUAAGUGGAUUUUGUUACUGGUAUGAAUAACAGAUCCAAAUCUGGCUGUACCUUGAGUCUGGUUUGUCCAGCCAAAUGAAAAUAAGAAUGUAUUUUGCACUACAAUCAGAUGACAUAAGGCUGGCUUGCUUUUUAAAGAAAAAAAAACAACUCAACAGCAUCCUCCAAACAUGUGAGAGACAGAAGCCACAGUCAAGACUAUUAUUUUGCACUUUGAUCAAUGCAACAUUGCAAAUUCCCUACACCAACAAUUCUCUUUUAAACUGGUAUUGGGUGAGAUUAUUAGAACAAAACCAGAAAAUUAUGAUCACAGUUUAUGCUCCUAGCUUUUGCAAAUGAUAGGCUAAGGUUUAGCAGUGUAAUAAAAUAGAAUCAAUAAUCUUGCCACUUCUGCAAUAAUGAAAAACCACCAUAUAGAUUGUAUCCACAUUGCUUAGUCUAAAAAUAAACAUGUACAAAUUAAACAGGAUAUAUCAUAUAUAUACACAUGAUUCAUUUAUGAAAAGCAGUUAUUUGUGCUGAGAAUAGCAGAAGUCCUGGUUGGCGCUAAUAAAAUAAUUAAGAAGAAAGACAAAACAACAUAAGCUUAAUUAUUAUUAUUUUAACAUGUUAAAAAUACAGUCACAUCAAAAUAGGGUACACAGUUAUAAAACUGUUGCAGAUGAAAUAAGAAAAUAGUGUGUAUAUAUUUUAUAUAUAAAAAUCUACAGUAUUUACUAACGCUGAUACAUAUUUUGGAGCCUCAUGUCAUUUGCACAAAUAAAUUGUACAGCUUCGUUAUGAAUUACAGAAUCAUCAUUAAACACUGAGAUUAUUACACUUAGCCACAAUAUUAUAUACAUACAUUUCUAAGCUGCUGUAAGCAAUCAGAACUAAAGUAAGCCCAAGUCAUAUUUAUCUUCACAAUUUUAGUCUAGGAUUUCAGUGUAGUGCUUGGCUACAGUUAAUUUGCUGCAGUUUGCAAUUUUUAAAUAUAAAAUUGCCCAGUUAUUAAAAAUUACAUCAGACACGUUAUAUACACAAAAAAAAAGUUUUGAAACAUACUAAGUAAAUGUUACUUCCAUUUGUAAAAAUUGUUUUACUUCUGUACCUUAAAACUUACAGAGCCAACCUGCAGCAAUAAUAGGCACUAAAGCUCAUUCUUUAAAGGAAAAAAAAAAUAAUAUCCAUUUCUAUGUUUUCAGUUAACAAA